CUCAGCUGCAUUGACGACAGAAAGAAGUGCAUCCUUUCUUGCCACUGCUUGAAGUUCGAACCAUCAAACUUGUCGGGCUGAAGUCCUGCGGUUACCGACGCUGGCAUCCUGACUUCACCCGAGCUUCCAUUGGUAGUCAUGUUGACAUCACCAUCAGUCAUAGUUGAAUCUGUUCACAGAAGAUAACCGAAGUUAGUAUUGAGAACCAAGAUUCAAAUCAGCGAUUAAAACGUUUAAGUCGCUAUGAACAGCA
rnacentral:lncRNA from 1 species